rnacentral:lncRNA from 1 species
UCUGCACCAGCAGAAGACGCUGCAGUGAGGCCUGUGCUCCAUAGAGAAGAGGAGCCCUAGCUCAGCGCUGCUAGAGAGAGCCGGGGCAGCAGCGGAGACCCCGCACCGCAGAAACCAAGUGAAAAAUAAAUUUAUUCCAGAAAUAAAUUUUUAAAAAGAACUUGAGACAUACAUUUUGGAGAAAAUGAGCGUGGGAAACGCCUCCCCCGAGAGACAGCGACCACGUCCACGAAGCGCAAAGACAGAGUUCUGGCGAGUUCGGAGCACGGUUUUGAGUGUCCACCACAGGAACGACAGCCUCCGCCUUCCUCUGAUACGCAUUUACCAGCUGCUUGGCUUUCCUUCUGAUCUUCCAGAGAGCGUGACCUUUCCCUGAACCUUUGGCACGAAGAGGCGGGCACAGGGCUUUGCCAUCGUCUGUGGCAGACCCUCACCAACAAGGACAGCCCCCGGGGACCAGGCCAGCAGGGCUGCGACAGCCUUUCCCGGCCCUUCCCCCGGGAAUUUUAAAUGCAGCCCGCUUCUUAGGGCCCAGACCAUGCGCCUAGGAGAGAGGCUUCAGUGGGCUGGGAUUCAGACAGAGCUUCCCAGCUGGCCUGGGUCU